AAUGUAAUUUAAAAAACUAGAGUAUUAAUAGUUAUAAUCUUUAAACUUAAAAAAUUUGGCGGUAUUUUAGUCUAUUCAGAGGAACCUGUUUUUUAAUCGAUAAUCCACGUUGGACCUUACUUAAUAUUAUAAAUUAGUUUGUAUACCGUUGUUAUAGAAAAUUUUAUUAGAAUAAUAAUUUUCAAUAAAUUUAAUAAAAUUAUAUAUCAGAUCAAGGUGCAGCAUAUUAUUAAGAUAAUAAUGGGUUACAAUAAAAUUAUUUAUAUGAAUAUAGAUAUGAAAAAUCUAUUGAAAGUGGAUUUGAAAGUAAAAUUAUAAAGAUAAAUAAUUUGAUUUUAGCUCU
rnacentral:rRNA from 1 species